CAGUAGCUCAGUUGGUUAGAGCACAUGACUGUUAAUCAUGGGGUCGUUGGUUCAAGCCCAUCCU
rnacentral:tRNA from 4 species